GAUGUCUGCUCCAGACUCUGAGUUUCCUAUAAUAAAGAGAUUGGGUCUACUGUGUCUACCAGAGUAGCCGUCAUACAAGAGUCAACUCAUGGGAUUUGUAAAUGUAGCUAAUUUGUGUUUGGGCAUUCUGAUCACCUGAGAAAGGAGAAGAGAGAGAACACUGUCAGUGACCAAGGUCGCUGUGAAGAUGAAAGGAAAUCAUAUUCACUAAGCAUUGAGCUCAAGGUCUAGCAUGGAGCAAGCACCUACUAAAGUCAGCUGUGUAUCCCUGCAGACCAGAGGGAUGUCUUGAGGCAGUGUGUGGACCGGGGAACUAAGGGCCUUUUGGAAAACAUCUGGAGACUGCAUAUCCAGCUUCAAACAUCUCAAAUCAAGCUGCCAACAUUCUCGUCUCCCUUCAGCAAACUCCAGACCACACCUGCAGAGGCUCUUAGAGCCAUUGUGUCUGAGGAAGCCUGCCUCUCUGAGGAGACUACUUUGAAAAUGGAAAUGGUGGGUUCCAGGAGACUCCAAGGAGAGGGGGUCCUCCACCUACCUUCCAUAAACCUCUUUCUACUAACCAGUUGCCUUCCACUGCGGCACCGGAAACUCUGGCCUUAUCGUGCCUAAUUAAAGCUGAUGUCUCCUUCAGA